rnacentral:rRNA from 1 species
GACGAACGCUGGCGGCGUGCCUAAUACAUGCAAGUAGAACGCUGAAGGAGGAGCUUACUUCUCUGGAUGAGUUGCGAACGGGUGAGUAACGCGUAGGUAACCUGCCUGGUAGCGGGGGCUAACUAUUGGAAACGAUAGCUAAUACCGCAUAAGAGUAGAUGUUGCAUGACAUUUACUUAAAAGGUGAAAUUGCACCACUACCAGAUGGACCUGCGUUGUAUUAGCUAGUUGGUGGGGUAACGGCUUACCGAGGGGACGAUACAUAGCCGACCUGAGAGGGUGAUCGGCCACACUGGGACUGAGACACGGCCCAGACUCCUACGGGAGGCAGCAGUAGGGAAUCUUCGGCAAUGGACGGAAGUCUGACCGAGCAACGCCGCGUGAGUGAAGAAGGUUUUCGGAUCGUAAAGCUCUGUUGUAAGAGAAGAACGAGUGUGAGAGUGGAAAGUUCACACUGUGACGGUAUCUUACCAGAAAGGGACGGCUAACUACGUGCCAGCAGCCGCCGUAA